CAUGCACUGUACAUGAAAGCGCAAGGGUAAUCCAAAGUUUGUCUAAUGUCACUGUACAGCAGAGAUAGAGUGUAGCAGUGAGGUGAUGUUUGGCCUGAAAUCGAGUUUAAUUGUUGAUUUUAAGGCAAUUUUAUCUCUUUGAUAAGCUGCAGAUAUGGUUUUUAUCGCUCAUCACCUGCAGUAGUGAAAUUAGAGGCACAUGUACCACGAUUACAGCAGGUGCAUGAUGGCCUAAUGGUUUUGAAGGUAAGAUUUAGCAUUCUGCACCAAAUUGAACUCUUCCACAAAAUAUAAAGUUCCUGGCAUUUUCUGGACUGGUGAAGUUGAUCGUAUCUGUUGAAUGUCCCGGACAUUAUUUUAAAGAAAAACAGGAACUCAAAGUUAGGAAUACAAGAUUUGCAGUUCGAAUAAAGGAGGGCGCUGUUGUCGACUGAUAAAAGGCUUUCCUGAUAAAAGUCAUACUCGGUCAACGUGCGCCCACAUCCACCUCCAACCAUACCGAGCGUAGAAAAUAAUAGAAAAAAGAUGGAUCCAAGAGGAACUCCGCCAAACAAUGGGGAUGCUGCUCUCAAUCAAGACGAACAUGGAAGUCUAGAAGCCCCAGUGCAUGAUCCAAGAGAAACUCCGCCAAAAAAUGGGGAUGCUGCUCUCAAUCAAGACGAACAUGGACGUUUAGAAGCCCCAGUGCAUGAUCCAAGAGAAACUCCAAACAAUGAGGACGCUGCUGCUGAAGAAAAAGACAAAUUAAAGUCUUUGUGGCCAUUUUGGAAACGUUCAAAACCUGAUCCAAGAGAAACUCCAAACAAUGAGGACGCUGCUGCUGAAGAAGAAGGCAAAUUAAAGUCUUUGUGGCUAUUUGGGAAACGUUCAAAACCUGACCCAAAAUAUCUAUGCAUGAAUAGGCAUAAGCAUGAAAGAUAUCAAGAAGUUGUACAAUGUGAUUUAGACAAUCGGAAGGAAUGUAAAAUGGGACACGUACACCCAAACCAGGAAGAGGUCGUAGCAUGUGAAGAAAUUAUUGGAAGAGCUACCUUGGUGUCCGGGGUACAUGGAAUAUAUGCUGUUAAUCUGCUUUGGCCUGGUAGUUGUGAGAGGACUUUGAAUCAUCCGCCGUGCGCUAUUGUUGAUAUUACAGAAGAAGUAAAUUCAACGAGCCAAGUGUGAAGGCAUCCGACUGAUCAUACCUGAUCAUACUGUUCAAGCGGAAUAAAAUAAACACGAAAACUCGGAGUGAAUCUUCCGUGUGUAUCAAUGGCCACACUCACAAGAGUGCAGCUGAGGCUUUAGAAUGUGACAAAAGGUCUUCAUCGAAAUGC
rnacentral:misc_RNA from 1 species